rnacentral:rRNA from 1 species
UCCAGACUCCUACGGGAGGCAGCAGUGGGGAAUAUUGGGCAAUGGGCGCAAGCCUGACCCAGCAACGCCGCGUGGGUGAAGGAGCGUUUCGGCGCGUAAAGCCCUAUCGGCAGGGAAGAAGGAGGACGGUACCUGACUAAGAAGCCCCGGCUAACUACGUGCCAGCAGCCGCGGUAAUACGUAGGGGGCAAGCGUUAUCCGGAUUUACUGGGUGUAAAGGGGGCGCAGACGGCAGCGCAAGCCAGGAGUGAAAGCCCGGGGCCCAACCCCGGGACUGCUCUUGGAACUGCGCGGCUGGAGUGCAGGAGGGGCAGGCGGAAUUCCUGGUGUAGCGGUGAAAUGCGUAGAUAUCAGGAGGAACACCGGUGGCGAAGGCGGCCUGCUGGACUGCGACUGACGUUGAGGCCCGAAAGCGUGGGGAGCAAACAGGAUUAGAUACCCCCGUA